rnacentral:rRNA from 1 species
AUAUCAGAUUAGCUAGUUGGUGGGGUAAAAGCUCACCAAGGCGACGAUCUGUAGCGGGUCUGAGAGGAUGAUCCGCCACACUGGAACUGAGACACGGUCCAGACUCCUACGGGAGGCAGCAGUGGGGAAUUUUGGACAAUGGGGGCAACCCUGAUCCAGCCAUGCCGCGUGAGUGAAGAAGGCCUUCGGGUUGUAAAGCUCUUUCAGCCGGGAAGAAAACGCAUUGGUUAAUACCUGAUGUGGAUGACGGUACCGGAAUAAGAAGCACCGGCUAACUACGUGCCAGCAGCCGCGGUAAUACGUAGGGUGCGAGCGUUAAUCGGAAUUACUGGGCGUAAAGCGUGCGCAGGCGGUUUUGUAAGAUAGGCGUGAAAUCCCCGGGCUUAACCUGGGAACUGCGUUUAUGACUGCAAAGCUAGAGUACGGCAGAGGGGGGUGGAAUUCCACGUGUAGCAGUGAAAUGCGUAGAGAUGUGGAGGAACACCAAUGGCGAAGGCAGCCCCCUGGGUCGAUACUGACGCUCAUGCACGAAAGCGUGGGUAGCAAACAGGAUUAGAUACCCUGGUAGUCCACGCCCUAAACGAUGUCAACUAGGUGUUGGGAGGGUAAAACCUUUUAGUACCGGAGCUAACGCGUGAA